AGAGUUUGAUCAUGGCUCAGAACGAACGCUGGCGGCAGGCCUAACACAUGCAAGUCGAACGUGAAGCCACCUUCGGGUGGUGGAAAGUGGCAGACGGGUGAGUAACGCGUGGGAACGUGCCCAAAGGUGCGGAACAACUCCGGGAAACUGGAGCUAAUACCGUAUGUGCCCGUAAGGGGAAAGAUUUAUCGCCUUUGGAUCGGCCCGCGUCGGAUUAGCUAGUUGGUAGGGUAAUGGCCUACCAAGGCGACGAUCCGUAGCUGGUCUGAGAGGAUGAUCAGCCACACUGGGACUGAGACACGGCCCAGACUCCUACGGGAGGCAGCAGUGGGGAAUAUUGCACAAUGGGCGCAAGCCUGAUCCAGCCAUGCCGCGUGAGUGAUGAAGGCCCUAGGGUUGUAAAGCUCUUUCGCACGCGACGAUAAUGACGGUAGCGUGAGAAGAAGCCCCGGCUAACUUCGUGCCAGCAGCCGCGGUAAUACGAAGGGGGCUAGCGUUGCUCGGAAUCACUGGGCGUAAAGGGCGCGUAGGCGGCCGGCCAAGUCGGGGGUGAAAGCCUGUGGCUCAACCACAGAAUGGCCCUCGAUACUGGACGGCUCGAGACCGGAAGAGGUUGGUGGAAUUGCGAGUGUAGAGGUGAAAUUCGUAGAUAUUCGCAAGAACACCGGUGGCGAAGGCGGCCAACUGGUCCGGAUCUGACGCUGA
rnacentral:rRNA from 1 species